GGCUCAGGAUGAACGCUGGCGGUAUGCUUAACACAUGCAAGUCGAACGGGAAUCUUAGGAUUCUAGUGGCGGACGGGUGAGUAACGCGUGAGAAUUUGGCUUCAGGUCGGGGACAACAGUUGGAAACGACUGCUAAUACCGGAUAUGCCGGAAGGUGAAAGAUUUAUUGCCUGAAGAUAAGCUCGCGUCUGAUUAGCUAGUUGGUGGGGUAAGAGCCUACCAAGGCGACGAUCAGUAGCUGGUCUGAGAGGAUGAUCAGCCACACUGGGACUGAGACACGGCCCAGACUCCUACGGGAGGCAGCAGUGGGGAAUUUUCCGCAAUGGGCGAAAGCCUGACGGAGCAAUACCGCGUGAGGGAGGAAGGCUCUUGGGUCGUAAACCUCUUUUCUCAGGGAAGAAAAAAAUGACGGUACCUGAGGAAUAAGCAUCGGCUAACUCCGUGCCAGCAGCCGCGGUAAUACGGAGGAUGCAAGCGUUAUCCGGAAUGAUUGGGCGUAAAGGGUCUGUAGGUGGUGCUGUAAGUCUGCUGUUAAAGAGUCACGCUCAACGUGAUAAAAGCGGUGGAAACUACAGGACUAGAGUGCGGUCGGGGCAGAAGGAAUUCCUGGUGUAGUGGUGAAAUGCGUAGAUAUCAGGAAGAACACCGGUGGCGAAAGCGUUCUGCUAGUCCGCAACUGACACUGAGGGACGAAAGCUAGGGGAGCGAAUGGGAUUAGAUACCCCAGUAGUCCUAGCCGUAAACGAUGGAUACUAGGCGUGGCUUGUAUCGACCCGAGCCGUGCCGGAGCUAACGCGUUAAGUAUCCCGCCUGGGGAG
rnacentral:rRNA from 1 species